rnacentral:rRNA from 1 species
CACGCCGGCCAAAGUGGGCGGGCUCCACCCGUUCCCAUACCGAACACGGAAGUUAAACCGCCCUACGUCCACGGUUGUACUGGGCUCCGCGAGGGCCCGGGAAGCCGUGGAAGCUGGCGGCC